rnacentral:rRNA from 1 species
CAGCUGCGAUAAGUAAUGUGAAUUGCAGAACUCAGCGAAUCAUCGAAUCUUUGAACGCAAAUGGCGCCCCCUGGUUCUCCAGGGAGCAUGUCUGUCUGAGCGUCAUGU